rnacentral:pre_miRNA from 1 species
AUGUAGGAUAAUCUGCUUAAGUGGGAGUAAGUUGCUCUAAACAACAAAUCCUAACUGCUUUUCCCUUAGAGUUAAGUAUCUUAU